rnacentral:lncRNA from 1 species
AUUUUCUGCAAUAAGAAUUUGCUGACCUAAGUUUGACCUUUAGAGCUUCCAUCCCCCUUGUUUCCUGAGGUGGCAGCUGUGGGAGCAAAUGGUGAGGGGAGGGUGAGGUCAGCUGGAAAUGAAGGAAAUCCUACGUGUGAUUGUAUGGUGGUAUCAGGUGGAAGCAGCGUGCUUUUGUUCCCUCAGCCCAUCUUCUAGAACUGUACUGCAGGAGUCUAUGCUGAAGAGGAGACUGGCAGGGUGGUCUGAACCCACCUAGCUCAGCUCUGAAACAGGAUGAGCAGACAGGGCACCAUCAACAACCCAGAUGCUCUCAGAAAAGAGCCCAUUCUCUGUUUAUGUGCGAGCCCCCCACAAGUCCUGCCAUUGUACUCCUGAAGCCUGAACUCAGAGCUACAGUGAAGUCCUAAGCUCACAUCUGUCACUCUCUCCAUCUCCCCACAAAGUCAUUGAUAACCAAAUGGGUGUUUGUAUUCUCUCUAAAGGAGGCUGCUGUCGCAGGAUCUGGAUCUCCUUGCACCAUCCUCUCUGUCUUCUUCUGAGAAUAUCAUUGAGCCAACCUACCUUCCUCCGGUGGGAAGAUAUACUUCUGCACAGCCCUUCCUGGGAGAUAUUUACCACCUGGAUUCCAUGUGAACUGAUUCCACCAGGAAUUUGUGCAGUGUCUAUAAAGCAGGUUCCAGCUCAUGAAGGACAAAGGCUGGCAGCAAGGACUAAGCUGAGAUUAUCAUGCCCUUGGGACUGACUUGAGUUCAAAAUGCUGUGUGACCUAAGCCAAGAAGUAGCAGAAGUCACAUUAGGAUCCUUUGUCACAUUCUGAAGGUGGAUCUCCACACCUCAUCAGACCAGCACACCUGCUUUAGUCUAGGCCUCUUCUAGAAGCCAGCAUGACAUUCCAGUGCACGCCACAUCACUGUACAAUACAUGUCUUGUGCACAGGUGUGCUGCUCUGUCCCUGUCCCCCAGCAAGGUAGCUGGAGGUGUCAACCCAAAUAGAUCCUGAAAUCUGUUCAGCACUCUCAUUCCAAUCAUGAAGGUAGCUCACCUUGACUGUAACAUUCAUCUCAUGUCAGACAUUGAUCUAUGCUUUUCAUUAGCAGAUUUAAUCCUCUCAGCAAUACAAUGAGGAAACUGAAACAUGAAGAGACCAAGUGGCUGUCCAAGUCCACAAGCUAGAAAAGGGAAGACAGCCUCCUAGCAGGGCCAAUGCUCUUAGCCACAUAUCUUAUGUACAUGGGGGCCAUGCCUAGUUUUAAAAAGACAGUUGUGUCUAUGUGUCUGCAGCUACAUCUUUAUACUGUGGGGAAAACGUGGGGCCUAGACUGAAGAAUGUGUGGGUCAGAAAGUGGCUCUCCCACCACCAAGGUUGUUGGUCAUCUCUGAACACUCAAAAUCAGGCCAAUGUUCUCUCUGUCCAUCUGCUGUGACUGGAAAGGGGUGUUCAGUGCAAUGAAUACAUUGGCUGUCUGCCUCUUUGCAGUGAUCAGACUGACAAGACCCAUCUUUGACCCUGUUGAGUUUGGGUCCAAUGAGUAUGGAGAGUAUAAGAGAGUGAGUUAAAUGGUUGUGUAGUGAGCAUCUGGCACUGCUAGGAGAUGCUCUAGAAAUCACUGAUCUCUAUUCAUUUACAUAUUUUACAUAAAAGUCCAGAAGAUGCAUUCUUGUAUCCUGUUACAGUUUGAAUGUGAAGUCUCCCCUCCCCAGCUCAUAUUUUGAAGUUUUGGGCUUUUUCCCCCCCACCACCAAGAUGACAGUGUUAUUCUGGAGGGUCGUACAAUGACUAUGAGGUGUCUGAAGUAGGCCCCUGGUGGCAGCCCUUUCAAGGUCUUGUUUGGCCCCUGCUCUGGGCCCAUUCUCCUCGCUCUCUUGUUCACCGUGCUGAGACAUCUCCUCCACACUUUUCCACUCCCAUGCCUUCCUCACCACCACUGGCUGAAAUCCCUUUUGAUAUUCUGAG